GCCCCCAUCGUCUAGUGGCCCAGGACAUCAGAUUCUCAAUCUGAGAACAGGGGUUCGAUUCCCCUUGGGGGUACCA
rnacentral:tRNA from 1 species